rnacentral:lncRNA from 1 species
UUAGUGUAAAGUAGUAAGAACUGACAUGUUCUAUCCCAUUCCUCCAAAACUUGAAUCCUUCAAAGAGCUCAAAGGCAAAAUUUAGCUUCAAAUCCACAUUAUUUUAUAAAGUUUUGGCUUACUUUAUUGCCUCAGACAUCUCACUUUGCUAGAGCACGUCAGAGACUUGAAAACUGUAUUUCCACCCACCUACAAAAAAUGGUUGAAAACUAGUUUGUUGCAAUGAUGUAGCUAAUAUUCUUUUUUUUAAAAAAAAAGAUUUAUUUAUUAUUUAUUAUAUGUAAGUACACUGUAGCUGUCUUCAGACACUCCAGAAGAGGGAGUCAGAUCUCGUUACAGAUGGUUGUGAGCCACCAUGUGGUUGCUGGGAUUUGAACUCCGGACCUUCGGAAGAGCAGUCGGGUGCUCUUACCUUCUGAGCCAUCUCACCAGCCUCGCUAAUAUUCUUAACAUACUAAUAUUCGCUGUAUAUUGAUGAGCAUCAAAAGAGGUGUUGUAAUACCUAUAUACCUAUACACCUACAAGGAUUUUUUUUUUCUUUUGCUGGGCAAGCACACUAGUAACAGGACUUUUGAGUUUCUUUAACUAUUUUAAAAUAUAUAAGAAUCAAUAAUUUUUACAAAAUAAACCUAGGUUCAUGUGAUUUGUUUCAACUAGCCUCCAAAGUUUGUAAAACUUCUUUAUAGCUCUACAGAAUCAAACACAGAGAUAGGAUGUAUACAUAUGCACAUACAUAUACAUAUAUAAUCCCAGAGGUAAUGGUUUGGUUGAUUGUACUCAACAUCUCUUUUGAAAAAUGGCUAAUUUUCGGUUGGACAGCUGUGUUCCUCCUGAACAGGAUAAAACUUGCAAUACCAGUAAGUAUUGAAGGUAACCACUGUUUAAGGUUUUUUAUCUGCAACAUGCUAACAGCAGUGAGGGUUCUUUCCCUGAACAGUUCAUGAAGUGAAGAGCACUAACACAUUUAUACUUCUCAUUCUUUUUGGCACUUGUAUUACAAAUGGAAGAACUUUCAUUUUUAGCUAUGUGGACUUACGAUGUUAAAAAUAAAUUCAAUAUUUCUUUUUGUAGAGUUUUAUUAUUUUACUAUGCAUUAUGUCAUAAUGUCUUUUUCAAAAAUAUUUAAAUAUUUAAAUUUCUUGUACUUUAUCAAAUUUACAUAUGUUAUAUUUUAUAAAAUUUUUACUCUUCAACUCCACUUGGAUAAGUUAAUAUAUAUAUGUAUAUAUAUAUAAAAGCAGAGAGGUGUGAAGAAAUCUGUGGAAUAUCAUUAUGUUCUAUGUUGAUGACACAUUUGUAUCACAAUAAGAAUAUAGGGUGUUACAUGUAAUACAUACUCAAUAACCAGUAUCACAAUAGUUAUGAAAGAUAUGAUAAAAUAACAAUGAUAAAAUAUCACCUCUAGAAGAGAAAUAUUCAAUCAAGUAUAGUUUUUAAAAAGUUCACAUGCAUAGUGUAUUUUAAGCAUGGGUAAGUUUAAAGCUUUCUAUUCUGGCAUUGUAUAUAUUAUUUACUUUUAUUGAUAAUCUAAAUUGUAAGCCAUCCUAAUUUACACUAAGUUAAACUCAAAAGAUUGUCUUGAUUGUGCUUAUCUAGAAAUUUAAAAUACUUCUUGUUGCCCAAUAACUGUGUAGGAAUAUAAUUAUAUAUAAUUAAAUGCAUGUAAUCUAAAUGAGCUAACUAGAAAAUUUAAAACUGUGAACAUUAUGGAUACAUUUUUAUUUGAACUAGCCUGUGGCAAAAGCUGGCAAGACUAACAUGACAGUUCAAAACAUAUAUGUUAUUUAAAAAAAAAAGUUUCACCAUCUGCAAAAUAAGUGAAAGUUACAAAGUUUUGAAAGCUAAGUAGCCAAACAGUUUGUAGUAACUUUAAUGAUGGCAAAAAAAGUUAGUGAAUACAUGCAUGUAAAUGGAUUUCUUGAUCAAAGAGUUCAUCACACAAACAUAUCAAUACUAAAUUUUAUUAUUUUAAAAUAUUAGGUCUUAAAUACAUGUAAUGCAGUUAAUAAAGCUCAGAGGUUUUGUUUUGUUUCCAGAAAUGCAUACUAGGCACUCUAGAAAUGAGGCAAGUGUCUCGUGGUUUCAUGGCUAACUCUUCCUACAUAAACAGUUUGAAGCCAAACAGAAAACAGAACAGAACAAAAGCGUCAGAGACAACUCUAGUUUGGAGCUAUUUAAUUUUACAUCAUUUUCUUAUUUUUAUUUCUGUCCAAUUGAAUUGACCUACAGUAUUUUGCAAUAUUCCAAAUUUGUCUUAAAUUUAAUGUAUCUGUUCUGAUUCAUGCAUUUUAUGAUCCUAGUCACCUUUCCUCUUUAUUUUAAAACUGUUGAAUUUUUGACAAACUAUUUCAGUACAGCAUGUUGAACAAUACUGUGGCUACAAUAAUCUGGGGGAUACUGACUCAAUAGGUUUAGUGACAUUAAACUCUAUGUUUCUAACAAUCUCCUCAGUUUCCAUGAACUAAAUCUGAACCAAGGUCAGAAAGUAAGAGUCAAUAACUUUUCCUAAUCCAUACUUUGUUGGGAACCAUGUGGACUCUCACAGAUUAGCUUUGCCUUUAAAGCUCAGAGAUGGUCACAGACAGCAUACAGUUAGAGCUAGGCCCAAAUAAUAACCUCAUGAACAGUACACUGAAAUCUGAAUACUUAUAACAUUUCCACAUCACUCCAUAUUAUUGAAAUUUGAUUAUUUUUUCAACUGAAUACAAAUUGAACCUUAUUUUUGGCUUCUGCAUCAUAGCAGUCUAUGGUUACUUUGCAGUUCUCCCUACUGGAGCAACAAUUACUAACAAAUAGUGGCCCCACAGUUUAGUGGGUAGUAUGAGAAAGAUGAGCUCUGCAGAAAUGUGACAGUUGAGUUAGGACUUGAAGAUGUAAGGAUUUUCUAGGCAAGUACCUAAGAA